UUCUUGCGCUAGGGCUAUCCGUUCCCGCUUUUUUCAUUAAUUGCCACGGGUUUAAACCCGUGGCAAUUAAUGAAAAAAGCGGGAACGGAUAGCCCGACCUUUA
rnacentral:sRNA from 1 species